rnacentral:ncRNA from 1 species
UUUCCCUCAGGAUAGCUGGAGCCCGCGGGCGAGUUCUAUCGGGUAAAGCCAAUGAUUAGAGGCAUCGGGGGCGCAACGCCCUCGACCUAUUCUCAAACUUUAAAUAGGUAGGACGGCGCGGCUGCUCCGUUGAGCCGCGCCACGGGAAGUUAAAGCAUAA